rnacentral:rRNA from 1 species
UUAACUGACCCUUCGGGUGACGUUAACGGCGUCGAGCGGCGGACGGGUGAGUAAUGCCUGGGAAAUUGCCCUGAUGUGGGGGAUAACCAUUGGAAACGAUGGCUAAUACCGCAUAAURSCUUCGGSYCAAAGAGGGGGACCUUCGGGCCUCUCGCGUCAGGAUAUGCCCAGGUGGGAUUAGCUAGUUGGUGAGGUAAUGGCUCACCAAGGCGACGAUCCCUAGCUGGUCUGAGAGGAUGAUCAGCCACACUGGAACUGAGACACGGUCCAGACUCCUACGGGAGGCAGCAGUGGGGAAUAUUGCACAAUGGGCGCAAGCCUGAUGCAGCCAUGCCGCGUGUGUGAAGAAGGCCUUCGGGUUGUAAAGCACUUUCAGCAGUGAGGAAGGCGGGUACGUUAAUAGCGUGCUCGUUUGACGUUAGCUGCAGAAGAAGCACCGGCUAACUCCGUGCCAGCAGCCGCGGUAAUACGGAGGGUGCGAGCGUUAAUCGGAAUUACUGGGCGUAAAGCGCAUGCAGGUGGUUCGUUAAGUCAGAUGUGAAAGCCCGGGGCUCAACCUCGGAACUGCAUUUGAAACUGGCGGACUAGAGUACUGUAGAGGGGGGUAGAAUUUCAGGUGUAGCGGUGAAAUGCGUAGAGAU